AUUGAACGCUGGCGGCAGGCCUAACACAUGCAAGUCGAGCGGGGUUUUCGGACCUAGCGGCGGACGGGUGAGUAAUGCGUAGGAAGCUACCCGAUAGAGGGGGAUACCAGUUGGAAACGACUGUUAAUACCGCAUAAUGUCUACGGACCAAAGUGUGGGACCUUCGGGCCACAUGCUAUCGGAUGCGCCUACGUGGGAUUAGCUAGUUGGUGGGGUAAUGGCUCACCAAGGCGACGAUCCCUAGCUGGUUUGAGAGGAGGAUCAGCCACACUGGAACUGAGACACGGUCCAGACUCCUACGGGAGGCAGCAGUGGGGAAUAUUGGACAAUGGGCGCAAGCCUGAUCCAGCCAUGCCGCGUGUGUGAAGAAGGCCUUCGGGUUGUAAAGCACUUUCAGUAGGGAGGAAGCGUUGUGUUUGAAUAGUACACAGCGUUGACGUUACCUACAGAAGAAGCACCGGCUAACUCUGUGCCAGCCGCCGCCGUAACAC
rnacentral:rRNA from 1 species